UACGUAGGGGGCUAGCGUUGUCCGGAAUUAUUGGGCGUAAAGCGCGUGUAGGCGGUCCGGUAAGUCCGCUGUGAAAGUCGGGGGCUCAACCCUCGGAUGCCGGUGGAUACUGUCGGGCUUGAGUACGGAAGAGGCGAGUGGAAUUCCUGGUGUAGCGGUGAAAUGCGCAGAUAUCAGGAGGAACACCAAUUGCGAAGGCAGCUCGCUGGGACGUUACUGACGCUGAGACGCGAAAGCGUGGGGAGCGAACAGG
rnacentral:rRNA from 1 species